CGUGCGGGCGAUACGGGCAGACUUGAGUACUGCAGGGGAGACUGGAAUUCCUGGUGUAGCGGUGGAAUGCGCAGAUAUCAGGAGGAACACCGGUGGCGAAGGCGGGUCUCUGGGCAGUAACUGACGCUGAGGAGCGAAAGCGUGGGGAGCGAACAGGAUUAGAUACCCUGGUAGUCCACGCCGUAAACGGUGGGUACUAGGUGUGGGUUUCCUUCCUUGGGAUCCGUGCCGUAGCUAACGCAUUAAGUACCCCGCCUGGGGAGUACGGCCGCAAGGCUAAAACUCAAGGAAAUUGACGGGGGCCCGCACAAGCGGCGGAGCAUGUGGAUUAAUUCGAUGCAACGCGAAGAACCUUACCUGGGUUUGACAUGCACAGGACGCCGGCAGAGAUGUCGGUUCCCUUGUGGCCUGUGUGCAGGUGGUGCAUGGCUGUCGUCAGCUCGUGUCGUGAGAUGUUGGGUUAAGUCCCGCAACGAGCGCAACCCUUGUCUCAUGUUGCCAGCGGGUAAUGCCGGGGACUCGUGAGAGACUGCCGGGGUCAACUCGGAGGAAGGUGGGGAUGACGUCAAGUCAUCAUGCCCCUUAUGUCCAGGGCUUCACACAUGCUACAAUGGCCGGUACAAAGGGCUGCGAUGCCGCGAGGUUAAGCGAAUCCUUUUAAAGCCGG
rnacentral:rRNA from 1 species